CAGGCUCACAUGCUUCACACCACAACCACACUCAGCCCCGCCCUCAGGUGACAGCUCUGGGCUGAGUAGAGUUUAGACUUGAUAUCGUGGUGUUUGCAGUAAAGCCCAGCCAGGCAGUUGGAGAUGGAGAAGAACGUCAAAAAACGUAAAGGAGGGGCUGAAAAGCUCAGAGAAAAGAGAAGAAAAGCUCUCGAAGCGUCGGCCGGACAGAGUACAACCAUAACAGAAAUGUUUGCUGUAGCCGCUGCCGGUCCAUCACAGGCACAGGGGCCACCUGUUGAUGAAGAGGCUGAGCCAACAAGCGAGGAUGAGGAUGCAGAUCGAUGUGAAGAAAGCGAGGCUGGAGUGGUUCUCCCUUCCUCCUUACAGGAGCCAAUGGACGGUGGAGAAAGAGGCUCUGGGCUGGAAGGAGAGAGAUAUAAACGAGCCUGUGGAGGACGAUGGGGGGACGGCAGCUGGAAAGAGUGGAUGAGAGGAGAGAGCACGAGGCUGGGAAUGGAGGCAGAGAGGGACGCCGAGGCGAAGCAGAAAAGAGACCCAGAACGUUACAACGCGACACACUUGCAGCUGCAGGUAGUGAUGGUGAAAUCGAAGCUUCAUGAAGCAAUGAACCACUUAGACACAUUGCUUCGAAGCAUUUGACACAACCAGAAGAGUGACAUCUGCUGGUCCUGUGUCAGAACUGCAUCCAAGUGGAAAAAAAUGGAAAAAGCCUCAGGACUGCUUGUCACACUGCUUUGUACUUGCAAUAAAUGUUUUAAAAUGUUAUAUAUGUAUGUUUGUGUGCAUAUAUUUAUAGUGUUUCUAUGAAUGAAUAUGUGUUGUGUAUGAGUGAAUCUAUGUGUAUGUAUCUGUAUGUUAUUUAAUGUAUGAAAUGCAACUAGAUAUAUCUAAACUAAAUUCUAACUAAAUGUAUACACUCCCUAACUUCUCUCAAAAUGGCAAAUGCACUAGCACAGUGGUUCUCAACCCUGUUCCUCAGGACCCCAUGUCCUGCAUGUUUUAGAUGUUUCCUGCUCCAACACACCUGAUUCAAAUGAUCAGCUCGUCAUCAAGCCUCUGCAGAAGCCUGAUGACGAGCUGAUCAUUUGAGUCAGGUGUGUUGGAGCAGGAAACAUCUAAAACAUGCAGGACAUGGGGUCCUGAGGAACAGGGUUGAGAACCACUGUACUAGUGUGAUCUCCUCUUCUCAAAAAACCCAUAAUUUGAGGAGUGAAUCAGACCCCUUUGCCUUUUAAGACCUGGACAGAUUGAAAUGUCCAACCCCUUCAAAGUUCGCGCGAAGCACCGCGACACGUAAUGAGGCCUCGUUCUCGAUAGUCGCGUGAUUGUGGGCGUGCUGAAGCAGGGAUCGAAACACCGUCUCGGAACACUUUCGCUUCAAAAGCUCGGCACUCUGUCGAGCAAACUGGCUCGAGUGUAACAUCACUAGCGGCAGGGCGAUCAGCUCUGCCUGGCGUGCGAGUAUCCCUUUGGGGCUUUCCAGUAACGUUCGGGGGUGAUUACAUCUUCGUGGGAAGGUUGGCGGUGUGCGACUUCCGUACUGGCAGUGGGUCUGUGUCUUACAGGUGGUAUCCCCGCAGACGAGUCCAGGCCCAGGAAGAAGGUCACUGGACCCCGCAACUGCUGAACCGUAUGGCAAGCCAUUUUACCAUUUAAUGCCCAGACUGGAUAUUUGCUACAGAUAUCUGUAAUUCAGUUCUUCCUAGUCGAAAAGAACGUUAGAGAUAUCAACAACUCUAUUUCUCCUAUCUGUAAUUAUCAUUUCAGAUAUCCACAAAUACAUUCAUCCUAAGAGAAAUGUCACUUUUGCCAUUGAUGUGUAUGGGUUAUUUCAUUGCGCCUAUCCGUAAUUUAGUUGUAGAUAUCCGCAAUAUGAGUUACGGAUAUCUACAACUGAAUUACGGAUAGUCAAAAUUCCAAUUCGAGAUAUCGCCAACCCCUCCUCAAUUACAGAUAUCUAUAUGUUCCUUUGUGGAUAUCCAUAACUCAGUUUUGACUAGGCGGAGUCUGUUGUAGAUAUCUUAAAUUAAAGUAACGCCUAGUCAAAAUGGCAUUGUAGAUAUCUCAAAUGGGAAUUACGGAUAGGCAAAACUUGAUUGUAGAUAUCUAAAAUUACAUUAGAAAUAUCUUUAUUGAAUUUUGAUAGAUAUCUAAAACUGGAGAUAUCUGUAAUUACAAUUCUGCCUAGGCGAAAUGUAAUUAAAGAUAUCUUGAAUGACAGUUUUGACUAGACGAAAUGACGUUGCAGAUAUCUGUAAUGUCGUGCUGUUAGUCCUCUCACUUUCAGGCGGAAAUGCUGAUUUGAACUUUUGACGCGCCCAUGGCCUCCCGGCUGGACAACGUUUCCCUUUUUGACAGAUUUUUCAGUACAACUACCCGUGCUUGACAGGAACUGGCAGCAAGAGAAACGGAUGAUAUUGUGGAUGCAACGAGACGGCUAUUUCGCCGUCAACCCCAACUCCUUCAGAGUCUCUGUUUCUGCGGUUGCCUAGGUGCUGCGUCUAGCGUCUUAAAGGGACAGUAACAUGCGUUCUAUGAGUUGCUGGUUUACUGUGUGGGUUGCAUUCACAUCUAUAUAAAUGUCUUUUAAUGGUGUACAAACUGCCCUUUGCACCACCGUAUGGUGCACACUGUCACUAUGCACAUCUUCAAUGUAUAGGAAAUGUAAGUUUUGUAUUUCUAUUUUGCUUUAUAUUGUACUCUAUAUCUUCAUGUAGUUUAAAACUUACAUGCCUCUUUACCAUACUUAUCUCUCCCCUUUUGAGCUACAGUAAAUGCCAAU